GACGAACGCUGGCGGCGUGCCUAAUACAUGCAAGUUGAGCGCUGAAGGUUGGUACUUGUACCAACUGGAUGAGCAGCGGACGGGUGAGUAACGCGUGGGGAAUCUGCCUUUGAGCGGGGGACAACAUUUGGAAACGAAUGCUAAUACCGCAUAAAAACUUUAAACACAAGUUUUAAGUUUGAAAGAUGCAAUUGCAUCACUCAAAGAUGAUCCCGCGUUGUAUUAGCUAGUUGGUGAGGUAAAGGCUCACCAAGGCGAUGAUACGUAGCCGACCUGAGAGGGUGAUCGGCCACAUUGGGACUGAGACACGGCCCAAACUCCUACGGGAGGCAGCAGUAGGGAAUCUUCGGCAAUAGACGAAAGUCUGACCGAGCAACGCCGCGUGAGUGAAGAAGGUUUUCGGAUCGUAAAACUCUGUUGGUAGAGAAGAACGUUGGUGAGAGUGGAAAGCUCAUCAAGUGACGGUAACUACCCAGAAAGGGACGGCUAACUACGUG
rnacentral:rRNA from 1 species